UCCCUGGUGGCUCAGAGGGUAAAGCAUCUGCCUGCAAUGCGGGAGACCCAGGUUCGAUCCCUGAGUUGGGAA
rnacentral:tRNA from 1 species